GAGUUUGAUCUUGGCUCAGAUUGAACGCUGGCGGCAUGCCUUACACAUGCAAGUCGAACGGCAGCACGGGAGCUUGCUCCUGGUGGCGAGUGGCGAACGGGUGAGUAAUGCAUCGGAACGUAUCCUGGAGUGGGGGAUAACGUAGCGAAAGUUACGCUAAUACCGCAUAUUCUGUGAGCAGGAAAGCGGGGGACCUUCGGGCCUCGCGCUCUUGGAGCGGCCGAUGUCGGAUUAGCUAGUUGGUGAGGUAAAGGCUCACCAAGGCGACGAUCCGUAGCAGGUCUGAGGGGAUGAUCUGCCACACUGGAACUGAGACACGGUCCAGACUCCUACGGGAGGCAGCAGUGGGGAAUUUUGGACAAUGGGGGCAACCCUGAUCCAGCCAUGCCGCGUGAGUGAAGAAGGCCUUCGGUUGUAAG
rnacentral:rRNA from 1 species